GACGAACGCUGGCGGCGUGCUUAACACAUGCAAGUCGAACGGAAAGGCCCUGCUUUUGUGGGGUGCUCGAGUGGCGAACGGGUGAGUAACACGUGAGUAACCUGCCCUUGACUUUGGGAUAACUUCAGGAAACUGGGGCUAAUACCGGAUAGGAGCUCCUGCUGCAUGGUGGGGGUUGGAAAGUUUCGGCGGUUGGGGUUGGACUCGCGGAUUAUCAGCUUGUUGGUGGGGUAGUGGCUUACCAAGGCUUUGACGGGUAGCCGGCCUGAGAGGGUGACCGGCCACAUUGGGACUGAGAUACGGCCCAGACUCCUACGGGAGGCAGCAGUGGGGAAUAUUGCACAAUGGGCGGAAGCCUGAUGCAGCAACGCCGCGUGCGGGAUGACGGCCUUCGGGUUGUAAACCGCUUUCGCCUGUGACGAAGCGUGAGUGACGGUAAUGGGUAAAGAAGCACCGGCUAACUACGUG
rnacentral:rRNA from 1 species